rnacentral:rRNA from 1 species
CCUACGGGGAGCAGCAGUAGGGAAUCUUCCACAAUGGGCGAAAGCCUGAUGGAGCAACGCCGCGUGGGUGAAGAAGGUCUUCGGAUCGUAAAACCCUGUUGUUAGAGAAGAAAGUGCGUGAGAGUAACUGUUCACGUUUCGACGGUAUCUACCCAGAAAGCCACGGCUAACUACGUGCCAGCAGCCGCGGUAAUACGUAGGUGGCAAGCGUUAUCCGGAUUUAUUGGGCGUAAAGGGAACGCAGGCGGUCUUUUAAGUCUGAUGUGAAAGCCUUCGGCUUAACCGGAGUAGUGCAUUGGAAGCUGGGGGACUUGAGGGCAGAAGAGGAGAGUGGAACUCCAUGUGUGGCGGUAAAAUGCGUAGAUAUAUGGAAGAACACCAGUGGCGAAAGCGGCUCUUUGGUCUGUAACUGACGCUGAGGUUCGAAAGCGUGGGUAGCAAACAGGAUUAGAUACCCCGGGUAGUC